UUUAGUGUCCCGUCUUCAGACUCAAGGAUUGCGGACGCUUGUGCUCUCGGCGCGCCAGGGGACAUUCCCCGUCGGCGCCUCCGUCACCGAUUCCUCCAGCAUCCCGGGGGGUAGUUGGAGAAUAUUACAGGACUAGAUAGUGUACAGCGAACUAGUUUGACAUCAGCAAGUGGAAGCGUCCCGAGUGCCACAGCAUCCGGCCGUGCGCGCAGCAGCGCACCGGUCCGAGGGGCGCCUGGGGCACCGGAAAACUCUACGUACCUGAGUGCCAUCCUUCAUCAACGAACCUCGACAGAGACCAGCGCUGAUCACUCCGACCAGUCUAGCCGGUGAACCAGAGCUACAGCGUCCCUCCUGCACAUCCCUGCCGGCGCCUCUGCCCAGGGAAGGCUGUGCAGUUGACGGCGGCGGACGGCUCGCUCACGUCACGGCCACCGCGGGAGCAACAUCAUCGAGGGAGAAGUACCCCAGUCUAGCCGGAAUUUGGAACUGGACGUCCAGAGAAUCAAUGGAAGAAGGAUUCUACCACUAUAGUGUAAUGACCAGUAAGGACUACAUCCCUUGAUUCUGCAGUGGCAUUACCAACUCCUCAAACCUUAAGGCAAUGGAUCUUAACAACCUGAGGGAAGACUGGGUCUUCCUGGAGACCAUCACAAGUUAGCUGGAAGACAACAAGGUGCUGUUCAGCCAGCAUCAUUGUACAUUUGGAUUGUGAGAUACAAAAUCCUAAUUACACCUAUGUUGAUGAUGGCACAUUCUUUGUGUGCCCCAGAAUGUUCCUAUCCACAUAACAUGACCAUCCCACAAAGAUACCAGGCAAGACAAAAUGCCCAUACCAAUAUUACUAUCUUCAGGUGUUGUCUGGUAUGGGAGACAGGUCCAGACAACUGAAACAAGGCCUCAGGAGCAGUGGUUCAACAAUAAUCCAUCUAGGCAGCAGCAGUCUGAAAGUGGAAGAGGACAGCUCAUAUAAACAUGUAUUAAGUAAGGAACAUAAUAAAAUUAAGAUGCUACU